CAGUCGCCACGGUAAUACAGAGGGUGCAAGCGUUAAUCGGAAUUACUGGGCGUAAAGCGCGCGUAGGUGGUUUGUUAAGUUGGAUGUGAAAUCCCCGGGCUCAACCUGGGAACUGCAUCCAAAACUGGCAAGCUAGAGUAUGGUAGAGGGUGGUGGAAUUUCUUGUGUAGCGGUGAAAUGCGUAGAUAUAGGAAGGAACACCAGUGGCGAAGGCGACCACCUGGACUGAUACUGACACUGAGGUGCGAAAGCGUGGGGAGCAAACAGGAUUAGAUACCCGCGUAGUCCCUGUCUCUUAUAC
rnacentral:rRNA from 1 species